UUGGUAGCAUACAAUGAAGCCCCAAUAAAAACUAGGCUAGGUUGAGGGUGGUUGUAUAAUUUUUAAGAAGCUGAUCUCUCUUUCUCGUCUUGGGUUUCUCAGACCAAUUUGAUUUUGAUGAUCUCAGUGAUUUACUUACAGUUUGCACAUUGCCUUUAACACGUUGAAGCCUAGUUCUGAUCAUCGAUAACAUCUCAAGUUCUCAACUUCUAAACCUCAAGCAAGAUCACCCAUUAUUACAGCUAUACUUGAUCACCCAACCAAACCAAACUUACCUCUCCACUACUAUCUAUUAUAGCAUUUUUGUUCAAGAGUAAUUUGAACCAUCUUUCUUCUUCUUCUCAAUGCCAAGAUUCACUCAUUUUCACCAUUUUACCUCUUCUUCCAACUCAUCUCCUCCUCUCACAACCAUGAGUGCAGUGAUGCCGUUUAUGGUAGAAUCAGUGGUGAGACUUGUGAUGGGGCUGGUGACUCGACCAACGGCGACGAUCACAACGUUGUUAUACUACAGUAAUUUGCUACCUCGAAAUCUCAACUUAGAGCGGUUGGUCCAACAUGAAUUUGCCGACCCACGAAAUUAUUUUUUCCAUUUUAUCAUCAGCGUCCUCAGAUGUUUUUGAUCCUACCCAACUUACUCUCAAUUCGGAUGCUUGUUCAUAUACUUUACAACAGUCUUCUACGACACGAGCAGCUAGGCUAUAGUAUAGCAUGUAAUUUAACAAUAAUGCUCUUGUACAUGUCUGCCACUGAGUACUUCUCCCUUUCUUCUUCUACUUUUUUUUUUGAGUAAAGUUGGUCUGUUUCAUCCCCCAAAAAAAUUCUUCUCUGGUUGAAAC